rnacentral:rRNA from 1 species
ACUCCUGCGGGAGGCAGCAGUGGGGAAUAUUGCACAAUGGGCGCAAGCCUGAUGCAGCCAUGCCGCGUGUAUGAAGAAGGCCUUCGGGUUGUAAAGUACUUUCAGCGGGGAGGAAGGCGAUAAGGUUAAUAACCUUGUUGAUUGACGUUACCCGCAGAAGAAGCACCGGCUAACUCCGUGCCAGCAGCCGCGGUAAUACGGAGGGUGCAAGCGUUAAUCGGAAUUACUGGGCGUAAAGCGCACGCAGGCGGUCUGUCAAGUCGGAUGUGAAAUCCCCGGGCUCAACCUGGGAACUGCAUUCGAAACUGGCAGGCUAGAGUCUUGUAGAGGGGGGUAGAAUUCCAGGUGUAGCGGUGAAAUGCGUAGAGAUCUGGAGGAAUACCGGUGGCGAAGGCGGCCCCCUGGACAAAGACUGACGCUCAGGUGCGAAAGCGUGGGGAGCAAACAGGAUUAGAAACCCGUGUAGUCCCAUGA